rnacentral:rRNA from 1 species
GAUGAACGCUGGCGGCGUGCUUAACACAUGCAAGCCGAACGGGAACCCUUUUAAUGCAGCUUCGGCAGAUUUAGCUGGUUUCUAGUGGCGGACGGGUGAGUAACGCGUGGGUAUCCUGCCUUAUACAGGGGGAUAACAGUCAGAAAUGACUGCUAAUACCGCAUUAGCGCACAGGACCGCAUGGUCCGGUGUGCAUCACUCCGGUGGUAUAGGCUGGACCCGCGUUGGAUUAGCUUGUUGGUGGGGUAACGGCUCACCAAGGCGACGAUCCAUAGCCGGCGUGAGAGGGUGAACGGCUACAUUGGGACUGAGACACGGCCCAGACUCCUACGGGAGGCAGCAGGGGGGAAUAUUGCACAAUGGGGGAAACGCUGAUGCAGCGACGCCGCGUGAAGGAAGAAGUAGCUCGGGAGGGAAACAACCAUCAGCAGGGAAGAUAGUGACGGUACCUGAAUAAGAAGCCCCGUCUAACUACGUG